rnacentral:tRNA from 1 species
GGAGAAGUACCCAAGAGGCUGAAGGGGCUGGCUUGGAAAGCUAGUAGGUCUGUAAAAGGGCGCAGGGGUUCGAAUCCCCUUUUCUCCGCCA